CUUAGGCUGAUACCAACUUGCUUAUUGGCUUCGUAAGGACCAACUGACAAUGUUACUAUUUAUUGCAAUUGUAGGUUAUAUGCUCAGUGCUUCAACUUAUUAAUCAGAUUGUGUGAGAAAAUACUGAUUUCCAGAAGAAUGCUUGUCUUGUUGGCUUUAUCCCUUUGGUUAUGAGUUUUGCGGGGCCGGAUCGUCCUCAGGAAAUUAGGAUGGAGGCAGCUUAUUUCAUGCAGCAGCUUUGCCAAUCGAGCUCAUUGACUUUGCAGAUGUUCAUAGCUUGCCUUGGA